UUUACUAUGGAGAGUUUGAUCCUGGCUCAGGAUGAACGCUAGCGGCAGGCUUAAUACAUGCAAGGCGAGGGGGCAUUUCGGUGUCACCGUCGUACGGGUGCGUAACGCGUAUGCAACCUAC
rnacentral:rRNA from 1 species